CGACUUGUAACCAACAAGAGCUACUCACACACAUCGAGAGAAAAUAAUGAUUCAUCAGGAUUCAAUCUGUGAAAGGUUUUAUUGAUUUUCAAAUCAGAAAAACAAUUAGCAAUUAGUGACAUUUCUCUAUUAUACUAGUGGGUAUGUACAAUCAUAUUUUAGAUGUGAGAUUUCCAACAAUGACGUUGCUGUUUCUCUUAAUAUAUUUUUAAAUGUUUUCUUUAUGUUUAUCUUUUAUGUUUUUUUUUGCUUAAGGUCUUUUUGUGUUUAUUACAAUGAAUCUGUGGAAUGGUCCUGCUGAAGUGAUUGUGGAAGGUGGAUGGAUGUACCUACUAAUAGAUUCAACAACUGAAUUAUAUCACGCAAUUUUAUGCAGACUAGGCUAUCCGUGUCAGAUAACUGUAUUGUACUUCAAAAAAGUUUAUAGCGAAAAAGUUCAAUGCAUAAAUGAAAAUAAUAUUACAAACUGCAAUAUUUAGAAAUAUAAUUACUUGCAAAUCUAGUAUUUAAUGUGACAUAUAAUUGAAAUAUAUUUUUACUUGUAUAUUUAUAUACCAAUGUAUUAUUUUCAAAAUUAUACAAAAAAAUAAUACAAAUGAAUUGUUAAUGGGUUCAGAAGUACACGACAACUGGAAAUUAUGAUUUGAUCAGUUGGUCAUGUGUGAAGGUCCCUAUAAAUAGGAUACUUAUAUAAUUUUAUGAAUCUUAUUAUAUAAAUAAUAUCAAUGAUUUUUUAAUUAAUUGAGUGAUUAAUUUUAUUUUCUAGAUAUUACUGUUUAAGAAAUAUUAUAAUCAGUUACAGAUGACAAAUGUAUAUUUCUCUUAAAAAACUUAUUUUCAAAUAAUAUUUUUAAUAAAUAAAUUAUCAAUCUAUUUUUAAUCAGUAACUCUAUUUUAAUUAGAGGUAUUUCUAAAAUAAUGUAAUAAAUAUUAAAAUUAUUAGUUUUACUUGUAAUGUAUUUUUGAUGAUAAUUAGAAAAUAAGAAUAUCUUUAAAUAAUCUAAUCUCAUAAUCUGAAAUUAUAUUUAAAAUAUAUAUUUUAAAAUUAUUAUAAUGCUAAAUAAAAAAAUUCAAAUAAUUGUGGUCAAGAAGUUAAAAUUAUGGUUGUCAUUUCGAUGAAUAGUAUAUUGUUAAACUAGUGUAAUAAGUUAUUAUUACGUUGUAGAACUCAAAGUAAUUUAUUUAUAUUUUAAAUAUUAUAAAUUUGAUUCGCUUAUGUAAUUACAUACCACUUCAUUUUUUAUUUUAUUUUAUUUUAGACAAAAACAAUAUAUAUCAAAUUAUAUAAUUCAGUGGAUCUUUUUUCAAAAAAAGGAAGACUUUUUCAAAAAAGAAGAAGAAGAUAUAAGACUACAAAGUGAACGUGGCUAUAUUAUUAAUCAGAAAUGCAUUCAAUCUGGACAGCAUUUAAUUAGGACCGCAGAACGUGAUACACAUGCCUUCUUUAUUCAUUGUGUGAGAGAGAUUUGAGAUUUUGGUGCCAUUAUCUAAUUGACCUUCAAGACGCUUAUAAAGAGACGGUUUUUGUUGCCAACAAGAGAUGUCACAACGAGAGAGACAGAGAGAGCACUGACUUGAUGGAUGAAAUUAGGGUUUUGUACCGUUUGGUAAUAACGGUUAUGUGCUUUGUGUGUUUAGGGCUUAGUGUUGGGAUGUGCUCAGAGUCCGAUGCCUUGAUCAAGACUUACGUGUCUUCCACACUACACUCUGAUGACUUGCUCAGUUCCACAAAGCUCCAAAUUAUCAACCUUUUUUUUGCUAUCUUAAAUAUCGUGGAUUAUAAAAAAUUUGUAGGAUAAUCACACUAUGCACAACCCAUCUUUUAAAAUGAAAUCAUUGCAUUUUUUAUUUAAAUCUCUGUUUUGUUCUUUGUGUAUAUAGUCCACGAAGUCACUAAAUCGGACUGGGAUUCAUUGGUGAUGGAGUCCAAAGCCCCGGUGAUGGUUUUGUUCACAGCCUACUUGUGCCCAACAUGUUUUAUCAUGAGUUUCAAUAUGGACACUUUGGACUUGAAAUUCGCAGGGAGGUUCAAAUUCUACAGUGUCGACCUUGAUGACGAGCCAGAGAUCGGAGCACGUUGGGGUGUACUAACUUGCCCCACCACAGUUGUUUUCAAAUUGGGAAAAGUAAUGGAUAAGCGCACAGGAUUUCUUAACGAAGCGACACAGAUGGAUAUCGUCGAGAAAUAUAUAUGAGAACUCUUGGGCAUUGAGUCUUACGUAUGGUUUUUAUAUCUAAAAAUGUUUGAGUGUUGCGCAGGGCCGGCUCAACACUUCUAGAGGCCCUAGGGCAAAAAAAAAAAAAUUUUACUCUCUAAAAUUUAUAUAGAGAUAAUGUUUAAAAUAUUUUUAAAAUUUAAUCCAUAAUAUUUUGUAUAUUUUGUAAUGAAAAUAAAACUAUAUACAUAUCAAAUAAUUUUGGGCCCUUUUCAAUUUUAUUUAUUGUAUUUAUAAUUUUUUUUAUAUAUAAAAAUAUAGAUUUAUAAAAAAUUGGGCCCCUUAUUUAUCAUUACACGGAGGGACACGGACUCGGACCCGGGACGGUCGCACCGCUUGUCCCCCCCUUGUAAGCCGGCCCUGGUGUUGCGUGUAUCUUUAUGUUAUUACGCAAAAAUAAAAUUACUACAACAUGAUUACUCGAGAAAAAUAGCAUCUCCUGAGGUAACAGUUUCUCCUUCCAACGUAUUAUAAUACUUCCGCGUAAUGUCCUUACCAUCAUUGCUCUUGAGGAUAGUAAGACUUUGACCGUCAUUAACAACUCUCUGUAAAAAUGGAUUGUUUGAUUGAAAGAUACAAAGUUGACUUGUAGUUUUUGGUGAUUUUCAAACAUAGGAUGUAGACUAGAAUGAGAGUUUUACUCCUAUUGCAAAAUUAGUGACCCCAAGAGCUUUUCUCAAACUCGCAGCUUUUCAAGAUUGAAAAGUGUAUCAGAUGGAUGUUAAUAAUGUGUUUUUAUGGUGACCUUGAUGAAGCAAUUUCGGUGCGAUCACAUAUAGAUGUUGAUCCAAGGAUCAUGGAAAAACAAGUUUUGUCGUUUGCAAUAAAUCACUUUAUAAUUUUAAGGAAGCUCUACGGUGUUGGUUUGAAAUACUAACAUUUUUUAUAACUCAAAAUUUGGUUUUCCGGCCUUAAGAUCUGUACCAUCUGGGUAAUGCAUAGGUAGUGAACGGUGUGAAGAGGCACUAGAAAAAUAGGAGAAGUGCUAUGUUGUUGGUAGAGCUCCUAUUCCAAGUUUCUGAAAGUAUAUAUAGGGAACUUCAACAAACGCCCUUGCAGCUAAAAGAGGAUCCAUAGCAGCUCAAAGUACUUGAAAAUGGGCUAUAUGAUGGUAACAUAAAAUGGAAUCAUAAAGCUCACGGAGUCGAAACCUUGAAUCUUCAAUGUGCCAAAGAAGCAUGUCCUAGCGUACAAAUACAGAUCAUGCUUUCGAAUUUUACACUUCAACCCUUUUCCUUGUUUUUAAGUGUGACUUGUGUAAUCAAAUCAGGGACUAAUAUUUAUAUGAUAUAUGCUGUAAGAACCACCAAUCUUUUGUAGUCUUAUGCAGUAGCAUACUACUAGGAUAAGAUAUAUGAAUACUUGUGUUUAAUUAAUACAUCUAAGAAAGAUAAUGAUUAUAUUAUAGAGUGAGAAUAUGUAGUCAUAUUAUUAUUAUUAUUAGCUUCAAUCAGGAGAGCAUUUGACUAGGACUGCAGAACGUGAUAUAUGCUUGAAAGAGGUGUGUCAAUUGUGUGAGAGAAAUCUGAGAUCUUGGUCCCAUUGUCUCAUUGACCUUAAAGACGGCUUAUUAAACGGCUUGUAACCAACAAGAGCUACUCACACACAUCGAGAGAAAAUAGUUAUUCAUCAGGAUUCAAUCUGUGAAAGGUUUUAUUGAAAGGUGUUUCAAAAAAUAAAAAAGGUUUUAUUGAUUUUCAAAUCAGAAAAAAAAAAUUAGUAAUUAGUGAAUUGUUUCAUUUCUCUAUUAUACUAGUGGAUAUGUACAAUCCAUAUUUUAGAUGUGAGAUUUCCAACGAUAACGUUGAUGUUUGUCUUAAUUUAUUUUUAAAUGUUUUCUUUAUGUUUAUCUUUUAUGUUUAUUACAAUUAAUUUGUGGAAUGGUCCUGCUGAAGUGAUUCUGGAAUGGGUGGAUGUACCUACUAAUUGAUUCAUCAACCGACUUAUUUCACGCAAUUUAAUGUAGACUAGGCUUAUCCGUCUCAGAUAACUGUAUUGUAGUUCAAAGAAGUUUAUAGCGAAUAAGUUCAAUGCAUAAAUGAAAAUAAUUUUACAAACUGCAAUAUUUAGAAAAAUAUAGUUACUUGCAAAACUAAUAUAUAAUGUGACAUAUACAUGAAAUAUUUUUACUUGUAUAUCUAUAUACAAAUUUAUUAUUUUCAAAAUUAUACAAAAAUAUAAUACAAAUGAAUUGUUAAUGGGUUCAGAAUUACACGAACCAAUAUUUUUUAAAAAAAAAACUCAUCCAUUGAUUAAAUAUUUUGAAUAUAAUAACAUAAAACAACUGAAAAAUUAUGAUUUGAUCAGUUGGUCAUGUGUGAAUCUCCCCAUAAAUAGUGUACUUAUAUAAUUUUAUUUUCUAGAUAUUCUGUUUAAGAAAUAUUAUAAUCAGUUAUAGAUGAUAAAAGUAUAUUUCUAUUAAAAUGUUUUAUUUUUUCAAAUAAUUUUAGUAAACAAAUUAUCAAUCCAUUUUUAAUCAGUAACUCUAUUUUAAUUAGAUAUAUUUCUAAAAUAAUGUAAUAAAUAUUAAAAUUAAUGUUAAAUGUUUUUAGUAGUGUAUUUUUGAUCAAAUAAUUAGAAAAUAAGAAUAUAUUUAAAUAAUGUAAUCUCAUAAUCUGAAAUCAUAUUUUAAAAAUAUAUACUUUAUAUAAAAAAUUAUAUAAUAAUAAAUAAACAAUUCAAAUAAUUGUGAUCAAGAAGUUAAAAUUAUGGUUGUCAUUUCAUUUGAAUAGUAGUAUAUUGUAAACUAUUGUAAUAAAAACAUCUUUGCUUGUGAGUUAUUAUUUAAAACUCUUAAGUAAUUGAUUUAUAUUUUAUCAAUUUGAUUCGCUUAUGUAAUUACAUACCAGUCAUCACUUCAUUUUUUAUUUUAUUUUAGACCAAAACAAUAUAUAUAUCAAACUAUAUAAAUCAAGUGGAUUUUUAUCAAAAAAAAAAAGACUUUAAAAACAAGAAGAAGAUAAGACUACAAAGUGAACGUGGCGAUAUUAUUAUUUUAAUUAUAAAUGCAUUCAAUUUGGACAGCAUUUAAUUAGGCCAUGCGCAGCGAUGAAUUCUCAACUGAUCUCUAAUUAUUAAAUUAAUGAAAAUAAAUGAACAAGGAAGAGAGAGAAUGAAAAACGUUUCUUCUUGAAGAGACUAAAAAAAAUCUGAAGAGACUCCGCUUCCAUUUUAUCUUCUUUUCAUUGGGUAAAUUUCAUUUAGUUUUGAAAUUUAAUUACAAAUAAUAUUAUACUAGUUUUUUUAUUGAUUAGAUACCAUGGGAAGAACUUCUACCACUAAUGAUGCUCUUAGGACCUCAGAAUACAUGCCUUAGAAAGUUCUCUAUGCAUUGUGUGAGAGAGAUUUGAGAUCUUGGUGCCAUUAUCUCAUUAGCCUUCAAGACGCUUAUAAAACGAGGGUUUUGUUGCCAACAAGAGAAGUCACAACGAGAGAGACAGAGAGAGCACUGAUUUUGAUGGAUGAAAUUAGGGAUUUGAACCGUUUGGUAAUAACGGUUAUGUGCUUUGUGUGUUUAGGGUUUAGUGUUGGGAUGUGCUCAGAGUCCGGUGCCUUGAUCAAGACUUAUGUGUCAUCCUCACUAUACUCUGAUGAUUUGCUCAGCUCCACUAAGCUCCAAGUCCCUUAUGUCGCUGAAUCAGACUGGGAUUCAUAGGUGAUGGAGUCCAAAGUCCCGGUGAUGGUUAUGUUCACAGCCGAUAUUGAUUUAGAGCGAGAGAUCGCACCACGUUGGGACAUACGAGCUCUCCCCACCAUCGUUGUUUUCAAAGGGGGAUACUUAGUGGCUACUCGCGCCGGAGCUCUUGAAGUAAAGACACUGAGGGAGAUCAUCGAGAAAUAUAUGUGAUGACUGGGCAUUGAGUCUUAAGCAUGGUUUAUAUAUCUAUAUAUAUAAAAAAAUGUUUGUGUCCCUCCUGUUGCGCCACGUCGGAUCCAGCCUGGAAACUCGCUUCAUACAAUCGCGCCACAUGUCCUGAACAUGAGACUCACCGUUUCAUUAACUCUGGUGUGGGCUUGGACUGUGUAAUCGCGUGUCUGGGCCUAAUCCUGAAGAAUCGAUGCAUUGGGCCAGGAGCUCAAGCCUCGCCUCCCGGCGGUCAGCUAACCACCACCAUGAAUUUCGUCGUCUUCUUCCUCUCUAAGCCCGACUUCGGUUACUACUCCUUCGGCUUCACCGCCUCCACCGUAGCUUCAUCAUGUCUCCGCUUCCAGCCAAUCUCUCAUUACUCGCAUCAGAUCUUGAAUCGAUGGUGGAGAAAACUCCAUCUUCUUCAUGAAUCUGCAUCUGGACAAGAAUAAGCUUUGAUAAGAGAAUAGAUAAAAGAGUGGUUGAGA